rnacentral:rRNA from 1 species
UACGGAGGGUGCAAGCGUUAUCCGGAUUCACUGGGUUUAAAGGGUGCGUAGGGGGGGUGGUAAGUCAGUGGUGAAAUCUCCGAGCUUAACUUGGAAACUGCCAUUGAUACUAUCAUUCUUGAAUAUUGUGGAGGUCAGCGGAAUAUGUCAUGUAGCGGUGAAAUGCUUAGAUAUGACAUAGAACACCAAUUGCGAAGGCAGCUGGCUACACAUAUAUUGACACUGAGGCACGAAAUCGUGGGGAUCAAACAGG